rnacentral:lncRNA from 1 species
UAAAUCCAUGACAUCAAGAGACAAGAGGAGGGUGAUGCACCUGAAAUCAUAAAUAAAAGUAAGUUGACUUUUAUUUUGUUAAAUACUAAUCUCCCCCACAUAACAUAGCAUAGCAUAUAAGAUGCAUUCUUGCCUGAAAGAUAAUAUUUUACCCUUGUUCUACCACUAACUACCACAACAACAAAAUUUGUGACUAUGGUAAUGAAAUGUAGAGGCCAGAGGGUUUACAUUAAGAGUGUACAUAUGAAUAUGAAAUCUAUAGUUGAUAAAAAAAACAUGUAAUAACAAUAAUGUACAUUGAUUUAGGCAAAAUUAAUCCCAUAUACAUGAAACGUAUGUAUCAAAUCCUAGCCUUCUUGAGUGUCCUUGAAAACAUAAUCCCCAAAAUUAACCCCAUGUGUGAAACGUAUGUAUUAACUACUCAUGUCUUAUUUGAAAAUCUUCUCCUAUUAAACUAAUUUCAUCCAGAGUUUUUAGAAAGCGGACUACAUACUCGCAUUGAAUUCUAGAUUUGACAUGUCAUAUUUAUAUUUUUAUUCACAAAAGAGAAUUGAUUAUUACCUCAUAUGAGAUACAAAAGUAAACACCAUCACCCUCUUUAUAUUGACCAAUUGUUUCUAACACUUUAACCCACCAAAUACCACACCAUGUGGCAUUUCCCUUCCCUGAUGUCUCAAAUUGCCAAAAGAAAGUAAACUUUUCAGAUAAAUAAAAAACUUGACUAAAUAGCAUAUAUAAAAUGUAAAUUAUUACCAGGCAUACUAAAUAAGUGCUGAUAGCAUUUUCCAUGCAAUAUUCAGAAUCUUUUUAAGAGAAUAAGCACAUCCUUUCCUAAAGAUAAUAAAUAACCAAAAGUUUUAGAAACAGAGGGGUAUUUCUGGAAAUACACAAACAGGGUCGUAGACUCAUAGCUAUAGCUAUAUGUACAGCUGUAUAUUGUUUCCAUGCUUUGUCUGCUUGUAAUCAAUGGAUUGAAGGCAGUAAUUUGAUAAAGCAAAGUUAAACUUUUAAAAUGCAAUGUCUUUAUAUUGAGAAUAUAAUGCCACAAUUGAAAUAAUAAUGCUAUAAUUGCUUAGAUUUUCCAAGUACAUUGUCUUAAUAUGAAAAAAAAAAAAAAGUAACAGAAAAGAAAAUUGAAAGUACAAUUUUACAAGUACUGACCAAAAUCAAACAUGUGAGAAAAUAUUUUAACAGGUUAGAUUUAUUAAGUAUUAUGUUAUAAUUGUUUCGAUUUUCAAAGUAUAAUGUCUAAGUAUGUUAGAGUUUCAAAGUGUAAUGUCUUGCUAAGAAAAAAGUUGAAAUGUGGAAUGUUUUCAAAGUGCAUUGUCUUAAUAAGAAAAAAAGUUAACAGUACAACGUUUAAAAUUUUGAAUAUAAAAUACUAUAAAUGUUAACAGUACAAACAAGUUUAGAUUUGAAAAAUACAAGUCUUACUAGGUUGGUUUUUUAAAAUGCAAUGUCUUAGAAUGAAAAUAGUUAAAUGUGUAAUGUCUUAAUAGAAAAAACAGUUGAAAGUACAAUGUUGGAUUUUGAAAGUACAAUAACUUAAUAAGAAAAAUAGUUGUAAAAAAAUGAACUACAAUCAAACAAGUUUAGAUAACCAAAGUAUAAUGUCUGAACAGGUUAGUUUUGAAAGCCUGAUUUUGAAAACCAUAAGGAAUUGAUGUCUUAAUAUGCAAAAAUAUGAAACCAUAAUUGGUUAGAUUUCAAAGAAUAGUAUUUUAAUAUGAAAACAAUGGAAGUAUAAUGAUAUAAUUGGUAACCAGAAUAAAACAAGUUUAAUAUUUUAAAAGUAAAAUGUCUUUGAUCGGUUAGAUAUUCAAAGUGAAAGUGUUAAUAGGAAAAAAGUAAAACUAAAAAGUCUUAAUAGGUUAAUAUGAAAUUUAUAAUGCUAUAAUUGGUUAGAACAGGUGUUGACAUGGGACUAAACAGCAAAAUUUGGCAAGCAAAAAAGAACAUGUAUUGACAUGUGGGUAAAUGUGGUUUUUAUGAAUUAGGGAAAUUAUUAAGUAACAUAUACGAACAAAAUUAUUAAGAUUUUACAAUCAUUGUUUGGAGUUAGAUAUAAAAACCUUUUUGAUUGCA